AGUGAACGCUGGCGGCGUGCCUAACACAUGCAAGUCGAACGGAGCGAAGCAGCUUGCUGCCUAGCUUAGUGGCGCACGGGUGAGUAACACGUAGCUAACCUGCCCUAUGGUAGGGGACAACAGUUGGAAACGACUGCUAAUACCCUAUACUCCUUCUCUGCUUAAGUAGAGUCGGGAAAGUUUUUUCGCCAUAGGAUGGGGCUGCGGCCUAUCAGCUAGUUGGGGAGGUAAUGGCUCACCAAGGCUAUGACGGGUAGCUGGUCUGAGAGGAUGAUCAGCCACAUUGGAACUGAGACACGGUCCAAACUCCUACGGGAGGCAGCAGUGGGGAAUUUUACACAAUGGGCGAAAGCCUGAUGUAGCAACGCCGCGUGGAGGAUGAAGGAUUUAGGUUCGUAAACUCCUUUUAUCAGGGAAGAAAUUUGACUGUACCUGAUGAAUAAGCACCGGCUAACUCCGUGCCAGCAGCCGCAGUAA
rnacentral:rRNA from 1 species